rnacentral:rRNA from 1 species
GAUGAACGCUGGCGGCGUGCCUAAUACAUGCAAGUCGAGCGAACAGAUAAGGAGCUUGCUCCUUUGACGUUAGCGGCGGACGGGUGAGUAACACGUGGGUAACCUACCUAUAAGACUGGGAUAACUUCGGGAAACCGGAGCUAAUACCGGAUAAUAUUUCGAACCGCAUGGUUCGAUAGUGAAAGAUGGUUUUGCUAUCACUUAUAGAUGGACCCGCGCCGUAUUAGCUAGUUGGUAAGGUAACGGCUUACCAAGGCGACGAUACGUAGCCGACCUGAGGGGGGGGGUGGCCAACCUGGGACUUGGGCCCGGGCCAGACCUCCUCGGGGAGGAGCAAGGGGGAAUCCUUCCGCAAGGGGAGAAGGCCGAACGGAGCACCCCGGGGGGAGUAAGAAAGGUCUUGGGACCAAAAAACUUUUUUUUUAGGAAAAAACAUACGUGAAAGAACUUGGCCCCUUUUUGAGGUUCCCUAAUAAGAAACCCACGGCUAAGUACGGC